rnacentral:rRNA from 1 species
UACGAAGGGGGCUAGCGUUGUUCGGAAUUACUGGGCGUAAAGCGCGCGCAGGCGGUUUCUCAAGUCAGUGGUGAAAGCCCGGAGCCCAACUCCGGAACUGCCAUUGAAACUGUGAAACUUGAGGACGAGAGAGGUGAGUGGAAUUCCCAGUGUAGAGGUGAAAUUCGUAGAUAUUGGGAAGAACACCGGUGGCGAAGGCGGCUCACUGGCUCGUUUCUGACGCUCAGGCGCGACAGCGUGGGGAUCAAACAGG